GAUGAAGAACGUAGCGAAAUGCGAUACGUAGUGUGAAUUGCAGAAUUCAGUGAAUCAUCGAAUCUUUGAACGCACAUUGCACCUCUCGGUAUUCCGGGAGGUAUGCCUGUUCGAGCGUCAUUUGUACCCUCAAGCUCUGCUUGGUGUUGGGUGUUUGUUCCGCCUCUGUGUGUGAACUCGCCUCAAAACAAUUGGCAGCCGGCGUACUUGUUUCGGAGCGCAGCACAUUUUGCGAUCCAGAUCAACGUACAGCGGCAUCCAAGAAGCCUUAUUUAACGCUCUUGACCUCGGAUCAGGUAGGGAUACCCGCUGAACUUAAGCAAAUCAAUAAGCGGAGGA
rnacentral:misc_RNA from 1 species